CGGCGGACGGGUGAGUAACACGUGGAUAACCUACCUAUAAGACUGGGAUAACUUCGGGAAACCGGAGCUAAUACCGGAUAAUAUAUUGAACCGCAUGGUUCAAUGGUGAAAGACGGUUUUGCUGUCACUUAUAGAUGGAUCCGCGCCGCAUUAGCUAGUUGGUAAGGUAACGGCUUACCAAGGCAACGAUGCGUAGCCGACCUGAGAGGGUGAUCGGCCACACUGGAACUGAGACACGGUCCAGACUCCUACGGGAGGCAGCAGA
rnacentral:rRNA from 1 species